rnacentral:rRNA from 1 species
GACGAACGCUGGCGGCGUGCCUAAUACAUGCAAGUCGAACGAACUCUGGUAUUGAUUGGUGCUUGCAUCAUGAUUUACAUUUGAGUGAGUGGCGAACUGGUGAGUAACACGUGGGAAACCUGCCCAGAAGCGGGGGAUAACACCUGGAAACAGAUGCUAAUACCGCAUAACAACUUGGACCGCAUGGUCCGAGUUUGAAAGAUGGCUUCGGCUAUCACUUUUGGAUGGUCCCGCGGCGUAUUAGCUAGAUGGUGGGGUAACGGCUCACCAUGGCAAUGAUACGUAGCCGACCUGAGAGGGUAAUCGGCCACAUUGGGACUGAGACACGGCCCAAACUCCUACGGGAGGCAGCAGUAGGGAAUCUUCCACAAUGGACGAAAGUCUGAUGGAGCAACGCCGCGUGAGUGAAGAAGGGUUUCGGCUCGUAAAACUCUGUUGUUAAAGAAGAACAUAUCUGAGAGUAACUGUUCAGGUAUUGACGGUAUUUAACCAGAAAGCCACGGCUAACUACGUGCCAGCAGCCGCGGUAAUACGUAGGUGGCAAGCGUUGUCCGGAUUUAUUGGGCGUAAAGCGAGCGCAGGCGGUUUUUUAAGUCUGAUGUGAAAGCCUUCGGCUCAACCGAAGAAGUGCAUCGGAAACUGGGAAACUUGAGUGCAGAAGAGGACAGUGGAACUCCAUGUGUAGCGGUGAAAUGCGUAGAUAUAUGGAAGAACACCAGUGGCGAAGGCGGCCGUCUGGUCUGUAACUGACGCUGAGGCUCGAAAGUAUGGGUAGCAAACAGGAUUAGAUACCCUGGUAGUCCAUACCGUAAACGAUGAAUGCUAAGUGUUGGAGGGUUUCCGCCCUUCAGUGCUGCAGCUAACGCAUUAAGCAUUCCGCCUGGGGAGUACGGCCGCAAGGCUGAAACUCAAAGGAAUUGACGGGGGCCCGCACAAGCGGUGGAGCAUGUGGUUUAAUUCGAAGCUACGCGAAGAACCUUACCAGGUCUUGACAUACUAUGCAAAUCUAAGAGAUUAGACGUUCCCUUCGGGGACAUGGAUACAGGUGGUGCAUGGUUGUCGUCAGCUCGUGUCGUGAGAUGUUGGGUUAAGUCCCGCAACGAGCGCAACCCUUAUUAUCAGUUGCCAGCAUUAAGUUGGGCACUCUGGUGAGACUGCCGGAGACAAACCGGAGGAAGGUGGGGAUGACGUCAAAUCAUCAUGCCCCUUAUGACCUGGGCUACACACGUGCUACAAUGGAUGGUACAACGAGUUGCGAACUCGCGAGAGUAAGCUAAUCUCUUAAAGCCAUUCUCAGUUCGGAUUGUAGGCUGCAACUCGCCUACAUGAAGUCGGAAUCGCUAGUAAUCGCGGAUCAGCAUGCCGCGGUGAAUACGUUCCCGGGCCUUGUACACACCGCCCGUCACACCAUGAGAGUUUGUAACACCCAAAGUCGGUGGGGUAACCUUUUAGGAACCAGCCGCCUAAGGUGGGACAGAUGAUUAGGGUG